GAACCCAUCUACUCUUUCCUCCCUUCACCAUAAAGCUGUUUCUGUUUCACAGUUUAUACAUUGCAUAUGCUUAGAGUGGUCCAUCCAUCAAUACAACAAAUACAACGCAACACCUCCUUUUGUAAAUAUUAAGUAUAUGCCCAUUCUAUUCCUUUCUUCUCUCUACUCUUCUCUUUUAACAAACACAUCUACGUACUUACUCUCCAGUUUAUGUUAUCUUCUUUCACUUCAAUAUAACUUUCGUGGGAUUCGAGAUCUGAGAGUUUGUAGAGUUUUACAUUACUAUCAUCAAAUCCUGGUCAUGCUUUUCCACAGCUUUCUUGAACUUUCAUUUUCAGUAUAUGAACCGUGGAAAGCUCAAGAAAGCUGUGGGAGAACAUGGCAAAUUCUCAGGAUUUUCUUCUUUAUUUUCAGACCUUGCUGCUGAAUCCAAGCUGUUCUCAUCAUCAAGACAGAUAUGAUACUGGUUUGAGGCAUGCAUGAAGGUCGAUUAACCUAGUUGUUUGUCAGUAAAAUCAAAGGAAGUUUUGGGUAGUGUUAAUUGACAUUCUGCUUUUGUUGAUUGAAUGAAAACGGUGUAAAGGACUUGAAGUGGAUUGCAGCGAAGAUUCUCUUUAUUAUGUCGAAUGAUAAUACAUACUAUUGAUUGUUGCAGUUGGUAUUAAGCCUUUUGGUUUUGGUUUUG